UACGUAGGGGGCUAGCGUUGUCCGGAAUCAUUGGGCGUAAAGCGCGUGUAGGCGGUCCGGUAAGUCCGCUGUGAAAGUCGGGGGCUCAACCCUCGAAUGCCGGUGGAUACUGUCGGGCUAGAGUGCGGAAGAGGCGAGUGGAAUUCCUGGUGUAGCGGUGAAAUGCGCAGAUAUCAGGAGGAACACCAGUGGCGAAGGCGGCUCACUGGCCCGGUACUGACGCUGGAGGCGACGGAAAGCCGUGGGGAGCGAACAGG
rnacentral:rRNA from 1 species